rnacentral:rRNA from 1 species
UACGUAGGCAGCGAGCGUUGUUCGGAAUUACUGGGCGUAAAGAGUGUGUAGGCGGUGUUCCCAGUCUGUUGUGAAAUCUCCCGGCUUAACUCAGAACGGCCAAGUGAUACUGCAGUGCUAGAGUGUGGAAGGGGCAAUCGGAAUUCUUGGUGUAGCGGUGAAAUGCGUAGAUAUCAAGAGGAACACCUGAGGUGAAGACGGGUUGCUGGGCCAACACUGACGCUGAGGCGCGAAAGCCAGGGGAGCAAACGGG